GAUGAACGCUGGCGGCGUGCCUAACACAUGCAAGUCGAGCGAUUCUCUUCGGAGAAGCGCGGCGGACGGGUGAGUAACGCGUGGGUAACCUGCCCUGUACACACGGAUAACAUACCGAAAGGUAUGCUAAUACGAGAUAAUAUACUUUUAUCGCAUGGUAGAAGUAUCAAAGCUUUUGCGGUAAAGGAUGGACCCGCGUCUGAUUAGCUAGUUGGUAAGGUAACGGCUUACCAAGGCGACGAUCAGUAGCCGACCUGAGAGGGUGAUCGGCCACAUUGGAACUGAGACACGGUCCAAACUCCUACGGGAGGCGGCAGUGGGGAAUAUUGCACAAUGGGCGAAAGCCUGAUGCAGCAACGCCGCGCGAGCGAUGAAGGCCUUAGGGUCGUAAAGCUCUGUCCUCAAGGAAGAUAAUGACGGUACUUGAGGAGGAAGCCCCGGCUAACUACGUGCCAGCAGCCGCCGUAAUAC
rnacentral:rRNA from 1 species